CAGACCCACUCAUGCUGGGCAAAGGAAAGGGAAGACUCUAGAGUCCCCGAGGAGACAGUACUAGACUAGAGACAAAUUUAAGUAGUGAGCCUUGCUCCUGUCUCUACCAGGACACAGGGUGCACCAAGCUCUUGGAACUGGCAGAUUCACGGGGGACCAGGUCAGGGUACAAACAGCCAGGCCAAAGACAGAGAAUCCAGGAGUUUGGCAAAGACAGCCAUUUUUCCUGGAUGCAUCACUGAAUACAGAGAAUUACACAGCUGCCUCUUAUUAUUAAAAGCACCCUCCCCCUCACUCUCUGAAUAAACUGUGUGUUCUGACAUUAAACCAAGACACUACACAAGAAGAUCCUGGAAGCCAGGAUGCCGCCAGCUUUGUAUGCCAGAUGUGAUUACAGAGCGACAGCGAACAAUGCUGCAAUCAGCCCAUUGGUUAGCUAGAAACCGUGGACACUCUAGAUCUACAAAGACUCAGAAAUCACAACAGACUCUCAAGAAAAUCAUCUCAGAUAGAGAAAAAUAUAGCUAUUUACAUAUACAUUAGUAA
rnacentral:lncRNA from 1 species